CGAGAUCGCCGAGCUCACCGAAGCUGGCUUCCAAGUUCAGCCACUCUUCCAAAAGCAUUGCUCUUUCUUCUUUCAAUUCGGGGGCGGAGUUUCUGAAAUAGCUUAGGGAUCUUUCGAACACGGCUGGUCGAGGGAUGAAAAAGUUCCCUCGUCGGAAGCAGAGGCCUCAAACUUGGCGUAACUAAUCCACACCUUCAAAUGUUUCGUGCGAUCUAAAAGCCUCUCGUAGAGUGCUCUGGUUCUACCAAACUCCAAUUCCGAUAUUUCGAAAUCUAUGUACGCCUGUCGUGAAACAAUUAGAUCAGGAAUGAUAUAGCUAUUGAGAUCGAAACAGACCAUGAAGAAAACCAAAUCGAAAUUCUUGAUGUCGGAAGGAUCACUUUCAAGUAAAUACUGGCAAUUAUAAAUUUAAUUAUACGAUAUACGGAAAAGCUCUAUACAGAAAGUGCUUUAAACGUGAGCUGAAUACCUUCCAUAGAAGUUCUGGCAUGUCUAGCGCAGGUUGGUCGAUUGCAAGCUCAAAAAGUGCUCUUGCUCGUUCGGUUUCUGCCAAGGACCUCUCCAGCUCGGCGUAUUUGGUCCAAGCAUAACAGUUCUCUGGAGACCACUCCAAGUAUUUUUCGUAUAGUUUCCUGCAUCGUUCGAUGUUGCCGAGUUGCAGCUCUAUCUCGAUGUACUUCUUAAAUAUCUGUUGAUAAUAUGUAAUUAUUGUGACGAGAAAUAGAAGACCAGAAAUCCAGAAUAAAACAGACAAUCUAAUGAAAUGUUAUUUAUUGA